UACGUAGGGGGCUAGCGUUGUCCGGAUUUAUUGGGCGUAAAGAGCGUGUAGGCGGCCAUGUAGGUCCGGUGUGAAAACUCGAGGCUUAACCUCGAGAUGUCAUCGGAAACCAUUUGGCUAGAGUCCGGAAGAGGAGAGUGGAAUUCCUGGUGUAGCGGUGAAAUGCGCAGAUAUCAGGAAGAACACCAAUGGCGAAAGCAGCUCUCUGGGACGGUACUGACACUAAGGCGCGAAAGCGUGGGGAGCGAACAGG
rnacentral:rRNA from 1 species